rnacentral:tRNA from 1 species
UGAUCGAGCGAUUGGUACGCGCGUCCCGGUGACCACCGGGAAGGUCGUGGGUUCGAAUCCCAUCGGCUCCACCA